CGUGCAGGCGGGUUGGUAAGUCAGAUGUGAAAGCCCUGGGCUUAACCCAGGAAGUGCAUUUGAAACUGCCAUCCUUGAGUAUGGGAGAGGAGAGUGGAAUUCCCAAUGUAGAGGUGAAAUUCGUAGAUAUUGGGAGGAACACCCGUGGCGAAGGCGACUCUCUGGGCCAAUACUGACGCUGAGACGCGAAAGCGUGGGGAGCAAACA
rnacentral:rRNA from 1 species